AAGCGCGCGCCACGGCGGGCCAGCUUCGAAGUCCAGGGGCCGCGCCAGGUACAAGCGCCCUGAGGCCGCAUCCAGCGCGAAGGUGCCCUCGGGAUCGGCACCGCCCACCAGUGUGUAGUUAGCGUGUACAAGAUGGUCCCAUUCUCCCCCUCAUCUGGAUCCUUCGCCUGCAGAGUCGUCACCAGUGUUCCCGGAGGCACGCGGUCUGGUACCUGUGGGAACACAACUCACCUAGAAUGCUAGUAUUGAUUUUGGAGUUACAAAUAAAUUUUCGAGAUUAAGUGAAUUCACAAAUAAUGAGGACCAACUGUACUUAGAAAGAAGAAAGGGCUGUGACCUCAAAUUCCAGGUGGGUCCAGGAAGUUAAUACCCUCACCAAGUCUCAUAAUCACCCCAAACCAAGAACUCACCGACAGUGGAAUUAUUGAGACUGAUUUAUAGGUUUGAUCUUUAUUGAGUUUGAUUAUUACAGAGUGGGAUCUGAUUAAUACUGGGAUCUGAUCACUAUAGGGUCUGUUCUAUAGAUUUAUGGGUGUGUGGCUCAUGCAUCGUUAGCCUAGUACAGUGCAAGGUACAUAGUAGGUGCUUUAUGUGUAUUUUUUCACCGAGUAAAUCGACGGUCUGAUCAUCCUGCUUUGUAACAAAACCUUCUUUCACACUAAGUUUUAUACAUUGGGUACACAUUAGGCCCUCAAUAGUGGGUUAGCUGGUGCUGACAACUGUAGCCUGUGACAAAGCGCUCUUUGUGGAUAUAAGGACCUCAGGGUCAGGAUAUGCUGCAAGAGGAAGCUGGAGAGUUCCCCUUUCUCAGCCAGAAAAUGUGCUUAGAGAGAAAGCUGGCCAAGGACUUCUGAUUGUGGCCCAGACCCUUGACAGAAAUGAUCUGUGCCAUUGUUUACCCUCCUGAGAGACACCAAGACCCUGCCAUGGCUGAACCCUGGAAACAGCUUCUGCUCCAACUCUCUACUGUGGCUGUGGGCCCGGAUAUCCCAGGAGACAGACUUCCCCUACAUCAAUCCUGGCAGGCAGCAGCACAGCUGCGGCACCAUCUCCAGAAGCUGUUAACGACCUUUGCCCUCUGACUCGCUGCAGGAAGAAAGCAAUAAACAGUGGUCUGGGGAAGUUGUCAGGAAGUGACCCCAAAAGGCACAGGGGCCACUGACUGGAAAUGAGCAAGGCAGAAGUGAAUUUCCUGGCCUGUACAACCCCUGCUCAGAGGUUUCACUGCAAAUACAGUCUCCAUUUUCAGCAGAUUCUCAGCUCAGCGUCUCAGUCCGACCUUGGUCGGCUCCCUCUCCCAUUCUGCCCCAAAGCCAUAAUAAACUUCAUCCCUCUUCUCUUGCCCCCAUCCCAUCCCUUGCUCUCAUCAGAUGCACUAUUUCAAGGAGAAAAGAAAGACACUUAUCUGUGAACUCUCUAAACUUCUUACUAGCCUCGAAACUUACUCCAUAUGCCUAUCCCAACCUCUUUUCCAGGUGUACCUCCUGCUUUGACUUUUCAAAACAUAAAUUAUUUAUUUAUUUAAUUUAUUUUUGAGACAGGCUCUCUGUUGCCCAGUCUGGGGUGCAGUGGUGUGAUCCUAGCUCACUGCAACUUCGAACUCCUGGGCUCAAGCAAUCCUCCUGCCUUAGCCUCCGGAACAACUAGGACUACAGGCGUGCACCACCAUGCCUGGCUAGUUUUUUUAUUUUUUGCAUAGACAGUGUUUCACUAUGUUGCCCAGGCUGGUCUCAAACUCCUGGCCUCAACCAGUCCUUCCACCUUGGCCUCCCAAAGUGCCGAGAUUACAGGCGUGAACCACUGUGCCUGGCCUUUAUUUAUUUUUUAAGACAGGCUCUCACUAUGUUGUCCAGGCUGGUUUGGAACUCUUGGGCUCAAGUAAUCCUCCUGCCUCAGCCUCCCGAGUAGCUUGGAUUACAGGGAUGCAUCACCAUGCCCAUCUCUCCUGCUAUGACUUCUUGAUGCUACUUUUCCUGCUUCUCCACCCACUGCUUCCCCCACCACCCACUGCCAGUCUUCCUCCAUCUCCCCUUAUCUGCCUGUUCUUACACACUGUUCCCUGGAAUCUCUCCUUGGCCUCUUCUCACUCCACACAUUCUCUCAGGGCCUUGCCUUUUACUUCAGCCAUCGUCUAUACUUUCACUCUAGACCACUCCUCUGAGAUUUCCCAACUUUUACAUCCAGAUGGCUGCUCAGCACCUCCACCUGGAUGUCCCACAGGCACCCUAAAUCCGACCAGCCCAAAACUAAACUCAUGAUCAUUCCAAACCUGCUCUAAUGACUCUUCCAUCCACACAGUUGCUAAAGCCAGAAAUCAGUUCUUCCCUUUUCUCACCUGGUAUAUCAAUCAACCAGGGAUUAAGUAAGUCCUCAUUAACUCUAUUUGUCUGUUCCUUUCCAUCACCAUUAUCACCAUUCUGACUUAGGCCUGAGCUGUCCUGAGUUAUUGCUCCCCUGCAUUAUUUUGAUUACCUUCUCAUAGAGGUCUGACCCUCUGAUCUGUACUCUCCACCAGGGUUUCUCAAAUUGGCACUACUGACAUUUUGGACCAGAUAAUGCUUUAUUAUGGGAGCUGCUAAGUGCCUUGCAGGAUGGUUAGCAGCAUUCUCAGCCUCUACCCACUAGAUGCCAAUAGUCUCCCACCCAUUGUGACAAUCAGAAAUUUCUCUAGAUAUUGCUAAUAUCCCUUCUGGGGGGCAAAGUCACCCCUGGUUAUGAACCACUGCUCUACAUUGACUACCAUUUGCAUAAACAAAUCUGAUAAUAUUGCUAUAGAAAAAAGCUCAAACCCUCUGACUUGGCUGAGCCUCCCUGCAGUCUCAUCUCCCACCUUCCCAUCUCCAGUCUUAACUCCAGAGAUCCUGAGCCCCUAGUAGGCCCUUGAACAAACUGGGCCCUCCCACACCUCUGUGCACCUCACCUCUGCUUGGAAGCCUUCCCCCAUCUGAUACUCUCAUAAAUUGCUCAUUCUUUAAGUCUCAACUCAGGGAUCCCUUCCUUCAGGAAAGCACUCAUACUGCCUAUCUGUACCUCAUAUAUAUCCCCAAAUGGAAAUGUUCUUAUUGGAAUGAAACUAUUUCUUUGCACAUGAAUCUCCCCUCUAUAAACUCCUUAAGAUGAGGGGAGUGACGCAUUCAUGACUGUAUUCCGUGUCUCUAAUACAGUGACUAGCACAUGGUAGACAUUCAAUACAUGUAUAUUGAAUAAAUCAAACAUUAAGACUUCUUGUGACAGUUGUAAACCCCAAAUGGUCAUUUUUACCCCGAUUCUCUAUGGUUACUAAUAGUAAAAACUCCAGGAAACCACCUGGAGAGUUGCCCUCUUGCUUCAGGCACUAGUGAGGAGAGAAGUCUGGAAGCCAUAGCCCAUUGGUCCUGGACAAGAAGGAGAGUAAACACGUGGAAGAGUGGGUGGUGGAGCUGCACAGCAGCAGGCGAGCAAAUAUGCAGAGUCUGGCCAGAGGACAAGAGGUCAGCCAGGCCCAGAGCUAGCCUGGAAGUCUAUGCCCUGAGGAGAUGUUCAAGAGUCUGGUGGAGUUUGGAGACAUAAGGACACUAAGCACCAGCCUCCUAAGAGGACUCCCUGCCCACUGUCCUCUCUCCUGCUGCCAUUCUCCACAGUGCAGCCAAAGCAAUCUUUCUUAAAGACAUAUCAGAUUUGCUUAGAGUCCUUCACUUGCUCCCUAUGAUUUUCAAGAUAAAGUUGAAUUUGUGACCUGGCU
rnacentral:lncRNA from 1 species